UGUCCUUUACAGUAAGUGCUCUGUGUCCAAAAUUGGUCAGUGUGGCUAAAAUUGAGACACAGGUUAUGCUUCCAUCACAGUAAACAUAUUACAGUGGUGACAAUGAGACCUGUAACAUUU
ensembl:snoRNA